AUUUAUAUAGUAUAAAUAAAGUACAUUUUAUUUCCAAUAAUAUAGUUUAAAUUUUUUAAUAUAAAUA
rnacentral:tRNA from 1 species